AAUUAGCAUAUAAGGAGAAUAACGUAAAGCUAGUCAAUGCGUUCAGCACUUUCACUUUCCGUACAUACCUUGAUGGGAAGGAAAACUCCACUUCGGAUGGGUUAAAGGUUUUCCAAUUAUGCCUUUCUUACGUUCUCAACUGGAUCACUUUAAUAUCGUUCGACUCAUUGUCAUCAGAGAAAGAUGUGCCGUAGGAGAAUUGACUUCGGAUCAGAGCAGGAAUCGAAACCAAGGAAAAGCUUCAUUCCCGUGCGGUUUCAUUAGUACUACAUCUAUAGGCCACUACUUCACCACUUCACUGGAAAGUGCAUUCCCAAUUGUAGCAAAGUUUCGUAACCACUAAAGCGCAUUCUCUCCUUUACUCUUAUUCCGGCAUGGAUCCCGCUGAAGCAUCUAGUUUUUGG
rnacentral:lncRNA from 1 species